rnacentral:rRNA from 1 species
UACCAGCUCCCCAAGUGGUGAGGACAAUUAUUGGGCCUAAAGCGUUCGUAGCCUGCUUAGUAAGUUUCUCGUUAAAUCCAGCGAUCCAAUCGUUGGGCUGCGGGAAAUACUGCUAGGCUAGGGGGCGGGAGAGGCUGACGGUAUUCUUAGGGUAGGGGUGAAAUCCUAUAAUCCUGAGAGGACCACCAGUGGCGAAGGCGGUCAGCUAGAACGCGCUCGACGGUGAGGGACGAAAGCUGGGGGAGCGAUCCGGAUUAGAUACCCCAGUA